UACGUAGGGUGCAAGCGUUGUCCGGAAUUAUUGGGCGUAAAGAGCUCGUAGGCGGUUUGUCGCGUCGAAUGUGAAAACCCGGGGCUCAACCCCGGGCCUGCAUUCGAUACGGGCAGACUAGAGUUCGGUAGGGGAGUCUGGAAUUCCUGGUGUAGCGGUGAAAUGCGUAGAUAUCAGGAGGAACACCUGUGGUGUAGACAGCUUACUGGACCACUUCUGACGCUGAGACACGAAAGCGUGGGUAGCAAACAGGA
rnacentral:rRNA from 1 species